rnacentral:rRNA from 1 species
CCGGCGCACGGGUGAGUAACGCGUAUGUAAUCUACCUGUAACAGAGGGAUAACCCGGAGAAAUCCGGACUAAUACCUCAUAGCACAUAUUAUUCGCAUGAAUUUUAUGUUAAAGAGACUCGGUUACAGAUGAACAUGCGUUCCAUUAGCUAGUUGGCGGGGUUACGGCCCACCAAGGCAGCGAUGGAUAGGGGUUCUGAGAGGAAGGUCCCCCACACUGGUACUGAGACACGGACCAG